CUGCUGCUAAACCUCUGUUUUGGAGCCCUGUUUUGUUUUCUUCUGCUGGCUAGCCUUUUGUCUUGGACUGAGUUUUGUUGCAGUCUCUUGUGGCGGGCUGGGUUCCUACGCACUACCUUUCUUGUUAUUUGUUGCUUUUUACCCUCUUAUUAUUAUUCUUCUGGGCCUGACUACUUUGAUACCUUUUCCUUUUCCUUCUUGUAUCUUUUGAUUUCCUCAAUGAACUAGUGGUAACAUACCUAACUAUUCUUUUGGAGAAAAAGGAACAAGUUUUAUGACAAAGACGUACUUUGAGGUGGAGCCUUUGAAAUGGGUGGGUGAUGGGUCCAUGGGAGCGUUAAGCUCUCAGCCUCGAUUUUGCUUGUCAAUAGAACCUUAGGUGAAGGUAGCGUUCCUUUAACAUUUCGACGCUUGCAGUGGUGGGCUGCUAAAACUAGGGAACAAACUGGAAACUGGGGCUCACCACUGAGGUCUACUAAAACUUGAGAGGAAAUGAAGGUGCAACUCUACUUCAAUA
rnacentral:lncRNA from 1 species